GCAGUCGAACGAUGAAGCCUUCGGGUGGAUUAGUGGCGAACGGGUGAGUAACACGUGGGCAAUCUGCCCUGCACUCUGGGACAAGCCCUGGAAACGGGGUCUAAUACCGGAUAAUACUGUUCCCCUCAUGGGGGGUGGUUGAAAGCUCCGGCGGUGCAGGAUGAGCCCGCGGCCUAUCAGCUUGUUGGUGGGGUAAUGGCCUACCAAGGCGACGACGGGUAGCCGGCCUGAGAGGGCGACCGGCCACACUGGGACUGAGACACGGCCCAGACUCCUACGGGAGGCAGCAGUGGGGAAUAUUGCACAAUGGGCGGAAGCCUGAUGCAGCGACGCCGCGUGAGGGAUGACGGCCUUCGGGUUGUAAACCUCUUUCAGCAGGGAAGAAGCGAAAGUGACGGUACCUGCAGAAGAAGCGCCGGCUAACUACGUGCCAGCAGCCGCGGUAAUACGUAGGGCGCAAGCGUUGUCCGGAAUUAUUGGGCGUAAAGAGCUCGUAGGCGGUCUGUCACGUCGGGUGUGAAAGCCCGGGGCUUAACCCCGGGUCUGCAUUCGAUACGGGCAGACUAGAGUGUGGUAGGGGAGAUCGGAAUUCCUGGUGUAGCGGUGAAAUGCGCAGAUAUCAGGAGGAACACCGGUGGCGAAGGCGGAUCUCUGGGCCAUUACUGACGCUGAGGAGCGAAAGCGUGGGGAGCGAACAGGAUUAGAUACCCUGGUAGUCCACGCCGUAAACGUUGGGAACUAGGUGUUGGCGACAUUCCACGUCGUCGGUGCCGCAGCUAAC
rnacentral:rRNA from 1 species